CAAUAGCGUAUAUUAAAGUUGUUGCGGUUAAAAAGCUCGUAGUUGGAUUUCUGCUGAGAACGACCGGUCCGCCCUCUGGGUGUGUAUCUGGCUCUUUCUUGGCAUCUUCUUGGUGAACGUUGCUGCACUUGACUGUGUGGAGCGCUACCCAGGACUUUUACUUUGAGGAAAUUAGAGUGUUUCAAGCAGGCAUACGCCUUGAAUACAUUAGCAUGGAAUAAUAAGAUAGGACCUCGGUUCUAUUUUGUUGGUUUCUAGAGCUGAGGUAAUGAUUAGUAGGGAUAGUUGGGGGCAUUCGUAUUUAACUGUCAGAGGUGAAAUUCUUGGAUUUGUUAAAGACGGACUACUGCGAANGNAUUUGCNAAGGAUGUUUNCAUUG
rnacentral:rRNA from 1 species